GAUAACUGGGGCGAAGAGGCGGGGGAAUUGCGGAGGGGGGAAGGUUUAUUCGGAAUUACGGGACGGAAAGCGCACGCAGGCGGGUGGAUAAGUUAGAUGGGAAAGCCCCGGGCUCAACCUGGGAAUUGCAUUUAAAACUGGCCAGCUAGAGUCUUGUAGAGGGGGGUAGAAUUCCAGGUGUAGCGGUGAAAUGCGUAGAGAUCUGGAGGAAUACCGGUGGCGAAGGCGGCCCCCUGGACAAAGACUGACGCUCAGGUGCGAAAGCGUGGGGAGCAAACAGGAUUAGAUACCCCAGUAGUC
rnacentral:rRNA from 1 species